rnacentral:sRNA from 1 species
GGUUCGAAUCCUGCACGACCCACCAAUUUAACAUCAAACUCAGAUGUUAAGCGUGAAGGAUAACGUUGCGUCAGCAACGGCCCGUAGGGCGAGCGAAAGCGAGUCAUCCUGCACGACCCACCA